AGCUCCAAUAGCGUAUAUUAAAGUUGUUGCAGUUAAAAAGCUCGUAGUUGAAUUUCUAUAUGCAUAUUAAUCGGAGCAAUUCAUUAAUAUGUAUAUAUCCGACAUUGAACUAUAAUGGUUAUUUAGUUAAUCUUAUAGCGAACUGUCAUUUUACUUUGAAAAAAUUAGAGUGUUUCAGGCAGGCAUUUGCCCGAAUAUCUUAGCAUGGAAUAAUGGAAUAGGACUUUGGUUCAUUUGAUUGGUUAUUGAAUCAGAGUAAUGAUUAAUAGGGACAGUUGGGGGCAUUAGUAUUUAAUUGUCAGAGGUGAAAUUCUUGGAUUUAUUAAAGACUAACUUAUGCGAAAGCAUUUGCCAAGGAUGUUUUCA
rnacentral:rRNA from 1 species